GCGGAGAGCGGGGACGCUGUUGGUCAUUUCGAAGCGCCGAAUACUGGGCGUGAUGUACACGCUUUUCAUCAUCUUUCUUUUCAACAUUUACGUUAUUCCGGUGCUGCUGAUACCUCUCAAUGACACAGUUCGGCUCCCGGUGCCAAGCUUGAUGGAAGUAUGCGCUCAGUGUGAGUGCAAUCCCAACAACUUGAUCAUGUGCAGAGUGAACCCCAGCACCGGAUGCUACUGCGUGAGGGGAUUCUACCGCCUCGGCGUAGACGGAAAGUGCAUGGAGCGGGCACUCUGCGAGCAGAGAUGAACAAAAAAAGGCGAUAAAUAACUCCACUGCUUAUAUUUCUACGCCUGUCCUUGGGCAUACUAAUGCAUAUAAUCACUACGCUGGCCUGUAAUAUAAUCUAGACAGAGAUGAUAAGAAUGAUACCUAUGCUGCAAGAAGCUGCCGAAGGCCUUCAAGAACGCAACGAAGCAUUACAUACAGUUGCACCGGGAACACGUAUUACAACGCGAAAAUCGGAACAAUGGAUCGAAAUCGCAACAUCGGCAAUGUGCAAAUACUACAGGUUUAAAUUGUUGGCUCGUCAAGAGGUCGAUAAAUUUCUGUUCAUACUUUGCCAUUCAAUCAUGUUUCGUCUGAAUGUAUCGUUCUUCAGCUUCUCUUGUAGCGAAAGAAUAAAUAUUUUCAAAUAAAGUUGUGGUAUAAUAAAAACGUGUUGAGAAA